GACGAACGCUGGCGGCGUGCCUAAUACAUGCAAGUAGAACGCUGAAGGAGGAGCUUGCUUUUCUGGAUGAGUUGCGAACGGGUGAGUAACGCGUAGGUAACCUGCCUGGUAGCGGGGGAUAACUAUUGGAAACGAUAGCUAAUACCGCAUAAGAGUAGAUGUUGCAUGACAUUUGCUUAAAAGGUGCAAUUGCAUCACUACCAGAUGGACCUGCGUUGUAUUAGCUAGUUGGUGGGGUAACGGCUUACCAAGGCGACGAUACAUAGCCGACCUGAGAGGGUGAUCGGCCACACUGGGACUGAGACACGGCCCAGACUCCUACGGGAGGCAGCAGUAGGGAAUCUUCGGCAAUGGACGGAAGUCUGACCGAGCAACGCCGCGUGAGUGAAGAAGGUUUUCGGAUCGUAAAGCUCUGUUGUAAGAGAAGAACGAGUGUGAGAGUGGAAAGUUCACACUGUGACGGUAUCUUACCAGAAAGGGACGGCUAACUACGUG
rnacentral:rRNA from 1 species